rnacentral:rRNA from 1 species
GACGAACACUGGCGGCGUGCUUAACACAUGCAAGUCGAACGGAAAGGCCCUGCUUUUGUGGGGUGCUCGAGUGGCGAACGGGUGAGUAACACGUGAGUAACCUGCCCUUGACUUUGGGAUAACUUCAGGAAACUGGGGCUAAUACCGGAUAGGAGCUCCUGCUGCAUGGUGGGGGUUGGAAAGUUUCGGCGGUUGGGGAUGGACUCGCGGCUCAUCAGCUUGUUGGUGGGGUAGUGGCUUACCAAGGCUUUGACGGGUAGCCGGCCUGAGAGGGUGACCGGCCACAUUGGGACUGAGAUACGGCCCAGACUCCUACGGGAGGCAGCAGUGGGGAAUAUUGCACAAUGGGCGGAAGCCUGAUGCAGCAACGCCGCGUGCGGGAUGACGGCCUUCGGGUUGUAAACCGCUUUCGCCUGUGACGAAGCGUGAGUGACGGUAAUGGGUAAAGAAGCACCGGCUAACUACGUG